ACGCUCACUGAGAUGGCUGGGACUACAUCAAACAUUUACCGGCAUUUAGAAAGUAAGCAUAGAAAAGAAAACAUUGACACAAAGACGUCACCUUCAACAGACAUCUCUCAUUACUGCUAACUACAGCUGAUGAAGGUACUCUGCCGGCUACUUCAGAAGGUGAGGACACUUGGAGAACGACCUCCAUAACCAGAUUAAGAUGUCAGUGAAAGUAACAGAUGAACAGCCAUCUCUUCUAUCAGCUAGCA